CACGGGGGGAGCAAGCGUUGUUCGGAAUCACUGGGCUUAAAGGGCGCGUAGGCGGCUUGUCAAGUCAGGGGUGAAAUCUUUCGGCUUAACCGGAAAAGUGCCUUUGAUACUGACAGGCUCGAGUGAGGUAGGGGUAUGUGGAACUUCCGGUGGAGCGGUGAAAUGCGUUGAUAUCGGAAGGAACGCCGGUGGCGAAAGCGACGUACUGGACCGCUUCUGACGCUGAGGCGCGAAAGCUAGGGGAGCAAACGGG
rnacentral:rRNA from 1 species